rnacentral:rRNA from 1 species
GGGGGAAAAAUUAAUAAUUAUUAUAUUAAUAAAAAAAUUUUUAAAUUAUAUUUUAAUGGGGGUUAAAGUAUAUAUAUAGAAAAAAUUUUUAAAUUUAUAGUAAAAUAGUAUUGUAAAAGAAUUUUGAAAUAGGGGAAAUUAAUUUAAUAAAAAGUAAGUUUAAUUUAUUGUAUCUUGUGUAUCAGAGUUUAUUAAUAAUAUUUUUUGGGUAAAAAUUUCUCGAAUUUAAAAGAGUUAAUUAAUUAUAAAAGUUAAUGUAGUAUAAUUAUUUUUAAUAGUUAAUUAGAAAUGAAAUGUUAAUCGUUUUUAAAAAUAUCUAGUUUUUUUAGAAAAAAAUUUAAUUUUAAAUAUUAUAAUUUAAAAUUUUUAUUUAAUAAAAUUUUAAUGGUUAAUAUUAAAUAUUUUAAGGGAUAAGCUUUAAAAUAAAUUUUUAUAAUUAAUUUUAAAAUUAAUUAAAAUUUUAAAAUUUAAAUUGUUUAAUAAAUUAUAAUUUUUUAUAAAUAAUUUAAUUAUAAUUAAAAUUUAAUAAAAAAAAUUUAAAUUUUUAUAAAAAAAUAUAUUUUAAUAAAAUAAAAUUAAAUAUAAUGAUAAAAUUAGUAUAUAAAUUCAAAUAAAUAAAUGAAUUUAAUUGAAGUUAAUUAAAGGAAUUCGGCAAAAUUUAUAUUCACUUGUUUAUCAAAAACCCCUCUUUUUGAAAAUAAUUUAAAGUCUAAUCCGCCCACUGAUAAAUUAUUAAAGGGCUGCAGUAUUUUGACUGUACAAAGGUAGCAUAAUCAUUAGUCUCUUAAUUGGUGACUUGUAUGAAAGAUUGGAUGAAAUAUAUACUGUCUCUAUUUAAUUUAUAAAAUUUAAUUUUUUAGUAAAAAAGCUAAAAUGAAUUUAAAAGACGAGAAGACCCUAUAGAGUUUGAUAAUUUAUUUAAUUAUUAUUAAUAUAUAAAUUUUAAAAUUAAAAUUAAAUAAAUUAUUUUGUUGGGGUGAUAGAAAAAUUAAAUUAACUUUUUUUUAUUUUAUACAUUAAUUUAUGAAUGAAUGAUCCAUUAAUAAUGAUUAAAAGAAAAAAUUACCUUAGGGAUAACAGCGUAAUUUUUUUUUUUAGUUCAAAUAGGAAAAAAAGUUUGCGACCUCGAUGUUGGAUUAAGAUAAAAUUUAAAUGCAAAAGUUUAAAAUUUUGAUCUGUUCGAUCAUUAAAAUCUUACAUGAUCUGAGUUCAAACCGGUGUGAGCCAGGUUGGUUUCUAUCUUUAAAUAAGAAUGAUAUUUUAGUACGAAAGGAUCAAAUAUCAAAAAUAAUUUUAAUAAAAUGAAUAUUAAUAAAUAAUUAAU